GCGAAGGCCACUUUUUUUUUCCCUUUUCAAUCAAGAGAAAGCCACUCAAUAACCAAAAAAUGUUAUUCCAAACAGAUAAAAUGCGUCAAUCUACAGUUAACCGUGUGUUGCAGUAGAGCAGAAAAGGUACGUGUGGGUAUAAUUUAAUAGCUAACAAACUGUGAUAGCUAACAAGGCAUUGAGUGAAAUAUGUACAGGGCAUUGAGUGAAGGAGGAGAUGAUAUUACAUACACAAACUGUGAUUUCUUGCAACGAGGGAAUAAGCUUCUGCCAUGCAAAAAAUAGCUAACAAGGUGACAUUCUUUUUCUGUAAUAAGAAAAUAGUGUCAAAUAAUAUAGAAUGGAUGGAGAAUAACUCAUACAACUACCCUUCCAGAACAAUGAAAACAUACACUUAUUGAGCGCCUUUUUUAUUUAUCUUACGUAAUUUUAUACCUUAAGAACAUAAAAUGUCUGCUUCGGACUUCAGUGUGAUUGCCACUUUAUUUUACAACUGAAAUACCGAGUUAUUAACCAAGUUUGUAAUAGAAAGUGAUUGGGAAAUUCUUUAUCACUCAAAUGGAAUUGUUUCCAAACUAAUUAUUCCCCUUGGAGGGAUAGGCUUGUGAGGGGUUGUGAUUUCCUUUCUUCAGAACUGAAGUCUUAUACCAGCUCAUGAAUUUAGCUAUGAACUCUGCAGUGAAAAAGAGGGAAAAAGAAAGUAAAAAAAAGAGUCAAAUCUUUUAGCAACAUUGAUACUCAACUCUUUUUCCAUUUGGACUUUUGUGGCGUAAAUCAGAUGUUAUAUGAACUUGAUUUCUGAAUUACCACUGCAUUGCCAUAUAUAUGGCCUCAGGUGAAAAGUAUAGCAUAUAAAGAUAAAAGGGAAUCAAAGUGUCAAGAAAGUAUAACCAUAGGUGAAUAUAUAUAUGUGAUCCUCUAAUUUUAUGUGUGUCCUAGUAAAUGCUUUCAAUUCGACAACUCCAUAUUAAGUUGUUGGACUAUCUUAGUUUUUGAACUUAUGAGCACUAAAUCAUGUGAUGGAACUUUGGAAAAUUGUGAUAGAGCAUAGAUUUAGGUACAUUACGAUGGUAAGAAGAGGCAAUUUGGAUUCAUAUUAGGUAGUUCUACAACAAACGACUAUAUUUUUGCUAAAAUUGAUUGAAAUUAUAGGGAAAUGAAGAAGGAUCUCCACAUGAUAUGCAUUGGCAUCAAAAUAGAGUACUAAGAAUGUCUAUUGGUGGGUGCUUGAGAAGAAAUUAAUUGGUAUAAGAUAUAGUAAGAUUAGACGAGAUUGUGGUUCCUAAAUACAAAUACUUAAGAUAUCUAAGACUCAAUCUUCCAGGAAGAUAGAUAAAGAAUUAACACAUAUGAUUAAAAUAUGGUGACUGUAAUAGAGGAGUAUUAUAGGAGCGACAAAUGCUUUAAUGAAAGAUUUGGUGCCUGAUUAAGAGAAUUGUCUUUUUUAUUCUUUAAGGAAAGAUGAUGAAUACAGUUUCCAUCAAAUGCUUGUCUUACCUUCAACCUUCAUAAAUUGGAGAACAAUCUUUUUCACUGCAUCAUUAUCACUUUUUCCUUGUUCCAGAUCCUUUGAAUUUAUCUGAAUGAGAAAAAAAGAGAGAGAAGUUUAGUUAUUUGCUUCUGUAUUAAUGUAUUGGUGAACAUAGAAUGACUAUAUAAUAGUGAAUUAAAAUUCAUUACAUUGUACUUCAUUUUCAGAUUGUCAAUUUCCUUGUGGAAUUGGUCAUCCAAAUUACUCUUUAGUUCUUCUACCAAAGUCUAACAUAUAACGAAAUGAAGAAAAAAAAGGAUUAAGAGUUAGUGAAAAGUUCAGUUAUUUUCCAGCAAUAGUUAUAAGGACUAAGAACCUCUUACAUUAAAGAUGAACUCAGCAGACACGUUGUGCUCUAUCAAAUUUUGCAGCUUCCCACGGAUAUCAUAUAGCCUGAGAGAGAAAUGAACUCUUGAUGUUAGUAUUAUGAGUGCCAGGAACUCUUAAUUGGGAUGUCGAAGAGCCUUAGUGUGAAGUGAACAAUGUCCUCAUAGUCAUAGAAAUGUCUUUGUAAUGUACUCCGUCCAUUUCAUAUUAUAUGACAGUGUUUGGCCGGAAAAAAGAAUGAUUUUGGCACAUACCAAAAGCACCCUUAGAAGUUAGAACUUCUGGUUUUAAGCAUGUUAUGACAUUUCUAUGGCUAUAAAAGCAUGUUGUUAAGGGUGACAUGGAAAGUUUAGAGUAAAAGAGUUCCCAAAUAUAGAAAGGCGUUAUCCUUUUUUAAACAAACUAAAAAGGAAAGAAUGUCACAUAAAUGGAACUGAGAGAGUAACUUUACAAUGAUGUGAAAUUAUACUCACUGCUUCGGGCUUUGCUCCUCAAUUAUGUUUUUAGCAAUCUUUGCAAUGUCAUCUUCCCACCCUGUCUUGAUUUCUUGAUUCUCAGUCAAGCAAGUGCUGAUAAUUAUACAUUCUGCUAUAGUUAGUGAGUGGACAAUACAAAAGAAUAAGCUAUUUGUAAAUAGUCAAUCUUGAUAGAGGAUUGUGUACGUAAUUCAUUCUCUAUAAAAGCUGAACAUUACUUGAAGUGCCAAGUAGCUUCAAAAGAGCGAAUUGCUUGACGUAGGUUACUUUUGGAGUUACUAGCAAUCUGUGCUGCCAGUUUAUGUGGUAGUUCUAUUUCUUCCUUUUUUGCUAUGAAUUCCAAGACGUCUACAAUCUGCCAACAAGAAAAUCUUUUCCAAGUUAGUUAAAGAAAAAGAGAGUUGUGCAUAUUAUAUUUGAGUUUAAGUAACUUGCUAUAACAUGUUAGAUUAUAGUAAUAGUGUAAAAAUCUUUACGUUCUCAAUAUAUAUUGAUUAAAUCCAAUACGUAUUGGUACCAUGCAUGCGCACCUCGUCAUCUGAAGGUUUUUGGAGAUGAACAACCUUACAAAUAGACUUAAUUGGCUGGAGCUUGGUGAUAUCACUGCAGCAAAAGAAGACCUUAUAACAACC
rnacentral:lncRNA from 1 species